GCGCCUUGCUUCAAAGCGUAGUGAAAUCACAAUCUCGCUUUGGAAGUGGAGGCAUCGCCCGCCGGACGAACCCAAAUCUUUCCAAGUUUGACCUCGGAUCAGGCGGGGAUACCCGCUGAACUUAAGCAUAUCAAUAAGCGGAGGAAAAGAAACCAACAGGGAUUGCCCUAGUAACGGCGAGUGAAGCGGCAACAGCUCAAAUUUGAAAUCUGGCGCCUUCGGUGCCCGAGUUGUAAUUUGCAGAGGAUGCUUCGGCGUCGGCUCCGGUCUAAGUCCCUUGGAACAGGGCGUCACAGAGGGUGAGAAUCCCGUACGUGGCCGGCCGCCUCAGCCAUGUGAAGCUCCUUCGACGAGUCGAGUUGUUUGGGAAUGCAGCUCUAAACGGGAGGUAAAUUUCUUCUAAAGCUAAAUACCGGCCAGAGACCGAUAGCGCACAAGUAGAGUGAUCGAAAGAUGAAAAGCACUUUGAAAAGAGAGUUAAAAAGUACGUGAAAUUGUUGAAAGGGAAGCGCUUGCAGCCAGACUUGACCGCGGAUGCUCAACCGGCCCUUCGGCCGGUGCACUCUUCCGCGGUCAGGCCAGCGUCGGUUUGGGCGGCCGGAUAAAGGCCCCGGGAAUGUAGCUCCUCUCGGGGAGUGUUAUAGCCCGGGGCGUAAUACGGCCAGCCCGGACCGAGGACCGCGCU
rnacentral:rRNA from 1 species